UACGUAGGGUGCGAGCGUUAAUCGGAAUUACUGGGCGUAAAGCGUGCGCAGGCGGCGCCGCAAGUCAGGCGUGAAAUCCGUCGCUUAACUUGGGAAUGGCGCUUGAAACUACGGUGCUGGAGUGUGGCAGAGGGAGGUGGAAUUCCACGUGUAGCGGUGAAAUGCGUAGAGAUGUGGAGGAACACCGAUGGCGAAGGCAGCCUCCUGGGCCAACACUGACGCUCAUGCACGAAAGCGUGGGGAGCAAACAGG
rnacentral:rRNA from 1 species